GACGAACGCUGGCGGCGUGCUUAACACAUGCAAGUCGAACGAUGACCCGGUUUCGGCCGGGGAUUAGUGGCGAACGGGUGAGUAACACGUGGGCACUCUGCCCUGCACUCUGGGAUAAGCCCGGGAAACUGGGUCUAAUACCGGAUACGACACAUGAGCGCAUGCUCGUGUGUGGAAAGUUCCGGCGGUGCAGGAUGAGCCCGCGGCCUAUCAGUUUGUUGGUGGGGUAGUGGCCUACCAAGACGACGACGGGUAGCCGGCCUGAGAGGGUGACCGGCCA
rnacentral:rRNA from 1 species